CUUCAUUAAAGGGGAUAAUGAGACAGCCAAAUGCUUAGGCAGAUUAAAAAAAAAAGGUCCCUGGAGAAUCUCCCACCUGCCCCAGAAGUGUUUACAUCAGAUGCUUUUGUGCAGAUGGGGAAACCUGCCCAGGGCUUGUCUGGGCAUGCCCACAGCGGACUGGAGGCCGACAUGUACACUGGGGGAAGUAGGUGGAGCCACGGGGAAUUCAGGCCUUAUGCAGGAGAGGAGCCUGCUCUCUUCAGUUCCUGUGUGGUGGCCCAGUAUCCAAUCUGUGAGGGGCAUUAGCUGAGUAGUUGUUGCAUCUGGGAGGAGCUGAAGAAGACGCUGGUGUCACAGGGUUGCUUUCAUACAUAUUUGGAAUAACCAGGACAGACUGGAAAGAAUGAAUAAAAACAAGCAAUAUGGUUACUACAAUCCUAUGCAAUUUCCCCUGGUACCAUCAGAGUGAAGGACAAAGAGCAUUCUGUAUCAUCAAAUGCUUGUUCCAGAGGAGUGUGAAUUUAUUUUGGAUUUUCUUUAAAAUGCCAGAAGUCUUUCCUUUUGAAAAGCAAAGUGAAAGAUCUGUAAAAAACGAUGUUUGCCAAGUGUUGGAAGGUAGAAUAUUUCAGAAUGAAGCACCAUCAUCUAAGUGUGAAGAACGUAGAGCUAAACAAAGAUGCUGCCUCUUAGAGAUGUUCUAUUCCAGGCCUCUGCUUUCCAUCUGAGAGUGAAUAUUCAAAUCUAAACUAUUUUAUUAAUAUUAUUCUUUAAAUAUCUCUGCCAGAAUUUCCAUCAAAAGUCAGUCAUAUAUCUGAGUAGUUCAUUGAAUCUAUCACAUAAUUGUUGUUAAGAUGUGCCAUUAUUUUAUGCAAC
rnacentral:lncRNA from 10 species